AGAGUUUGAUCCUGGCUCAGGAUGAACGCUAGCGGCAAGCCUAACACAUGCAAGUCGAACGGUUCUUUAGCGAAAGCUAAGGUAUAGUGGCGUACGGGUGAGUAAUAUGAGAGAAUCGUCGUCUAGGAGGGGGAUAACAAGUAUAAAUACUUGCUAAUACCCCAUAAUGCUAUUAAGUGAAAUGAAAUUUUCGCCUAGUCACGAGCUUUCAGCUGAUUAGCUUGUUGGUGAUUUAAAAGCUCACCAAGGCUAUGAUCAGUAGUUGGUUUGAGAAAAUGAACAACCACAUUGGAACUGAGACACGGGACAGACUUCUACGGAAGGCAGCAGUGAAGAAAUUUCCGCAAUGGGUGAAAACCUGACGGAGCUAUGCCGCGUGGAGGAUGAAGGUUUUCGAAUUGAAAUCUCCUUUUCCCAUAGAAGAAUUUAUGACGGUAUACUGGGGAAUAAGCAUCGGCUAAUUUCGUGCCAGCAGCCGCGGUAAUACGAGAGAUGCGAGGUGCGAGUUUUAUCUAACUUGCCAAUAUGUAUAAUAUUACUUAAUAUAAAAUUUAAGUAAUAGAUUACAUCUUCCUGGGCUCCGGAAGAAUCCAAUUAACUAUCCUGAUUAUAAUUAAGACAUGUGAUCAAGUAUAAAGUGAAGCUGAUACAAGAACAAGGAAUUAUGAAUAAUUAUGAAUAGAGGAAACUCUAGGGAGACAAUAGCAUGUUAAUAAAGCCUAGGAAACUGGGCAAGGAGAAAGUGGUUUAUGAUUAGCAGAAGACCUCUGUGAACAAGAUUAUUAUCGACUAGUAUUCUCUACUUAAAAUACAAUCAUAGGAUUAGGAGUAUGCGACAGAUACGUAGGCUAGCAGCGUAUGUCGAAGCCUUCGAUACUCUAGGUAUUCAAUGUCCUCGUCGAAAGACAACGAUUUGAAUUUUUCAAUAAAAUGAAAACGAUAACUUGGAUCUAAAAGAUCACAUAUAAUUGGUAAGAUAGAAGAAAACUGGACUGGCUAAAUCUGAACAAAGACGUUUAUUAUAGAAUACUCGACAAUGUAGAAACCCUCCGUAUAUAAAAAGGUAAGAAAAUACGAGGCAGACAUGGAAAUAAGGAAUUAUAAGCCAACAAGCCAGGAGAGGAUCCAAAAAAAUCAGGGAUCCAGGGAUCAAGAGAAAGAAAUAAGUAUUUAGUCAAAACACUGUGAAAGAAGGAAAACCUUCUUAGUAAAAGACACGGCUAAAUAAUAUUGUCUAUAACUAAAAAAUAAAAAUCGAUAAAUAAUAAAUUUUAGAAACAAAUUUGAUUCUGGAGAGCGUAAUGAAGGGUAACUUUUACGUUACGUUCGGGAACGAGUAGAGUAAUGUAAAACAUACGCUAUUUAGUUAUCAUCGUUAUCUAGAAUUAUUGGGCGUAAAGAGCUUUAAGGUUGUUAAGUAUGUCUAAUGUAAAAUUUCAGGGCUUAACUCUGAACGGGCAUUAGAAACUACUUGACUUGAGUAUAAUAGAGGCAAAGGGAAUUUCUUGUGUAGCGGUGAAAUGCGUAGAUAUAGGGAAGAACACCAGUGGCGAAGGCGCUUUGCUAGGUUAAAUACUGACAUUCAUAAGCGAAAGCCAAGGGAGUGAAAAGGAUUAGAGACCCUUGUAAUCUUGGCUGUAAACGAUGGGUACUAGGUGAUAUAGAAUUAUUGCCGUAGCUAACGCGUUAAGUAUCCCGCCUGGGAAGUACAGUUGCAAAAUUGAAACUCAAAGGAAUUGACGGGGACCCGCACAAGCGGUGGAACAUGUGAUUUAAUUCGAUGGUGCGAAUAUUAGCGAUAAAAAGCGAAUUCGUAAGUAAAGAUAAAUAAAAAGAACGACUAAAUACCAAUAUAAUAAGAACAAAGAAAACUUAAGUCAACUAGUAUUAAGUUGAAAAUCGUCUAACUAGAGUCUUAAACCUGAAUAUAAGGUAAAUUAUAUCCACCUAUAUAUAUAAAUUAAUACAAAGAAUAUAACAAAAAAAAGGUAAAAAAAGAUGAUAAACCAUUGACUCGAAAAAAAGCAUGUUAGAAAAGCGGCUGAAACACAGUACACGAGAUAUAUGAUUAUGGGUAAACAAAAGCUAAUCUCAAACGAGAAAAACCAAUAAAGUUUCAAUCACAAAAGAUUAGGUUAUGUGAAAGAUUAUUCUAAAACAAAAAAUAGGCGUCGAGUUUUUUGGUAAUACAAUGAGAUAAUCGAAAUAGAUUUUACAAAUCGAAAGAUUUUAAAAUUCUAUACUAAAAUAUUAAUUUUAGCUCGUGGCGGGACACCUAAAAGAAUCAUAAACAUCUUUACUAAUGAAAGAUAUAAAGCGGACGUAAAAUAAAUGAAAUAAGCGAAAUACAAAGACAAACCUUCUUAAGGUAACUGAAGUAAAACAUGUAAAGGAACCACUCAUGUUAAAUAAUUGUCUUAAAUCGUAUUAUUUUAGGUGAAAAUUCAAAAUUCUUCAUCGCCAAAAAAUUUGGGAAGUGGAAUAUACCCUAAGGGGUUAGUCCGAAGAGUGAAAAAGAUCUAAAAAGGAAUUGAAAAAUACCGUCUUACAAUAGUAAUAGAUCCAGUUCAUAGAUUUCAACAAAAAAUGAAGAAUCAAAGUUGAAAUGGGAGAGCGUAAUGAUAGGAAAGCUAUCACGUUACGUUCGGGAACGAAGGCGAAUAACCAAUAACGAAAAUAUCGUUUGAAGGCCUUUAGUUUCAUCUACACGAAGAACCUUACCAGAAUUUGACAUUGCAGUUUUCUUUGAAAAAAGAUAUCUCGUUUUGAAGCUGUAAACAGGUGGUGCAUGGCUGUCGUCAGUUCGUGUUGUGAAACGUCAGGUUAAGUCCUUUAACGAACGCAACCCUUUCUUUUAGUUGUUUUUUUAAUUUAUCUAAAAGUACUGCUGACUUUAAGUUAGAGGAAGGUGGGGAUGAGGUCAAGUCAUCAUGCCCCUUAUAUUCUGGGCUAUACACGUGUUACAAUGGGUAGGACAAAAAGUCGCAAGUUUGUGAAAAUUAGCUAAUCUUAUAAACCUACCCUUAGUUCGGAUUGUAGAUUGCAACUCAUCUACAUGUAAGUCGGAAUCGCUAGUAAUCAUUAAUCAGCUAUGUAAUGGUGAAUACGUUCUCGGGUGUGGAUUUUAAAUUAGGUAAUGAUUUAGUUUGGUGGUUUUACCAACCAUACUAGUUUGUAUUAUAAAUAAAUUUAAGCAACAUAUUCGAUAUCUAUAACAAUAAAAAGUAAAUAAAUUAAGAUGAAAUAGAUUACUGAUAGAGGAGACUCUAUGAAAACAAUAACAUGUUGUUACAACUCAUCUCAUAUGGAAAUGUGUGAAAAAAAAUUAAGGAUAGUUAGUAAAAUUUACGAAAUUUGUUAAGUUAGUUUGUAUUAGUUUAUUAAAGAGUAUAUAUCCCGCGAGUAUAUAUAGACCAAUUAUUUACUAACAAACAAGAAAUAGGUUAUGUUAUAAAAUUAAUUAAUGCCGAAUAAUAAUCAGGAACUGGCUAAUCUUGCUAUUAGAGAGGCUAGUUAAGAAGUUAAAUAAGAAAUUAUAUCUAGAAUUUUAAAAAUUAUAAAAAAGAAGAAUCAAGAUAAAUAUAAAUAUAAAUAGAGGUUAAUAAAGAUUGUAGUGAUAUUUAAAUAAUUUAAGUAUAUAAAUAAUUAUAUUAAGUACGUUUUUACUUUGUUUGAUUUGAUUUGAAGAGCAUAAUGACUUUUAAAUUGUCCCCUUAUGUUUGUUGAACGGAUAGCCCUUUUACUAUCUAGUUUCAUGUCUUGUACACACCGCCCGUCACAUCAUGGAAAUUGACUUUGUCUGACGUAGUUAUUUUAACUUAUUGGGAAAAACUACUAAGGCCGGGUUAGUAACUGCGAUGAAGUCGUAACAAGGUAGCCGUACUGGAAGGUGUGGUGCGAAUUAGG
rnacentral:rRNA from 1 species